rnacentral:sRNA from 3 species
AUAUAGGCCAUGCCGAAUUUCCAGAGAAAAAGGAAAACGGGGGAACCAUUUCCGGGGUGAAUCCGCUAACAAGCGGUAGGGAUUUCCCUUUGUCCCGAACCCGUCAGCUAACCUCGUAGGCAUUUAGAAAGGGGUGUU